CCUACGGGUGGCAGCAGUGAGGAAUAUUGGUCAAUGGGCGAGAGCCUGAACCAGCCAAGUCGCGUGAAGGAUGACGGCUCUACGGGUUGUAAACUUCUUUUGUCAGGGAGCAAUUGAGUCCACGUGUGGUCUUAGCGAGAGUACCUGAAGAUAAAGCAUCGGCUAAGACCGUGCCAGCAGCCGCGGUAGUACGGAGGAUGCGAGCUUUAUCCGGUUUUAUUGGGUUUAAAGGGUGCGUAGGCGGGCUGUUAGGUCAGCGGUCAAAUUUCGGGGCUAAACCCCGGCCUGCCGUUGAAACUGGCGGCCUCGAGUGGGCGAGAGGUAUGCGGAAUGCGUGGUGUAGCGGUGAAAUGCAUAGAUAUCACGCAGAACUCCGAUGGCGAAGGCAGCAUACCGGCGCCCGACCGACGCUGAGGCACGAAAGCGUGGGUAUCGAACAGGAUUAGAUACCCCUGUAGUC
rnacentral:rRNA from 1 species